GAGACGGAGAGGCAUCUCUACCGUCUGGAAAGUUUUUCGGUCUGGGAUGGACUCGCGGCCUAUCAGCUAGUUGGUGAGGUAAUGGCUCACCAAGGCGACGACGGGUAGCCGGCCUGAGAGGGCGACUGGCCACACUGGGACUGAGACACGGCCCAGACUCCUACGGGAGGCAGCAGUGGGGAAUAUUGCACAAUGGGCGAAAGCCUGAUGCAGCGACGCCGCGUGAGGGAUGACGGCCUUCGGGUUGUAAACCUCUUUCAGCAGGGAAGAAGCGAAAGUGACGGUACCUGCAGAAGAAGCACCGGCUAACUACGUGCCAGCAGCCGCGGUAAUACGUAGGGUGCGAGCGUUGUCCGGAAUUAUUGGGCGUAAAGAGCUUGUAGGCGGUUUGUCGCGUCUGCAGUGAAAAUCCGAGGCUCAACCUCGGACUUGCUGUGGGUACGGGCAGACUAGAGUAUGGUAGGGGAGACCGGAAUUCCUGGUGUAGCGGUGGAAUGCGCAGAUAUCAGGAGGAACACCGAUGGCGAAGGCAGGUCUCUGGGCCAUAACUGACGCUGAGAAGCGAAAGCAUGGGGAGCGAACAGGAUUAGAUACCCUGGUAGUCCAUGCCGUAAACGUUGGGCGCUAGGUGUGGGGCUCAUUCCACGAGCUCCGUGCCGCAGCUAACGCAUUAAGCGCCCCGCCUGGGGAGUACGGCCGCAAGGCUAAAACUCAAAGGAAUUGACGGGGGCCCGCACAAGCGGCGGAGCAUGCGGAUUAAUUCGAUGCAACGCGAAGAACCUUACCAAGGCUUGACAUAUACCGGAAACAUCCAGAGAUGGGUGCCCCGCAAGGUCGGUAUACAGGUGGUGCAUGGUUGUCGUCAGCUCGUGUCGUGAGAUGUUGGGUUAAGUCCCGCAACGAGCGCAACCCUCGUUCUAUGUUGCCAGCGCGUAGUGGCGGGGACUCAUAGGAGACUGCCGGGGUCAACUCGGAGGAAGGUGGGGAUGACGUCAAAUCAUCAUGCCCCUUAUGUCUUGGGCUUCACGCAUGCUACAAUGGCCGGUACAAAGGGCUGCGAUACCGCGAGGUGGAGCGAAUCCCAAAAAAACCGGUCUCAGUUCGGAUUGGGGUCUGCAACUCGACCCCAUGAAGUCGGAGUCGCUAGUAAUCGCAGAUCAGCAACGCUGCGGUGAAUACGUUCCCGGGCCUUGUACACACCGCCCGUCAAGUCACGAAAGUCGGUAACACCCGAAGCCGGUGGCCCAACCCUUGUGGAGGGAGCCGUCGAA
rnacentral:rRNA from 1 species